rnacentral:rRNA from 1 species
AGAGUUUGAUCCUGGCUCAGGACGAACGCUGGCGGCGUGCCUAACACAUGCAAGUCGAGCGGAGACAGUGAGUAGCUUGCUAUGAGCUGUUUUAGCGGCGGACGGGUGAGUAACGCGUGAGCAACCUUUCCCAGACAGGGGAAUAACACACCGAAAGGUGUACUAAUACCGCAUAAGACCACGGGAUCACAUGGUUCUGGGGUAAAAGAUUUAUCGGUUUGGGGUGGGCUCGCGUCCGAUUAGGUAGUUGGUGAGGUAACGGCCCACCAAGCCGACGAUCGGUAGCCGACCUGAGAGGGUGAUCGGCCACAUUGGGACUGAGACACGGCCCAAACUCCUACGGGAGGCAGCAGUGGGGAAUAUUGGGCAAUGGAGGAAACUCUGACCCAGCAACGCCGCGUGGAGGAAGAAGGUUUUCGGAUCGUAAACUCCUGUCCUUGGAGACGAGUAGAAGACGGUAUCCAAGGAGGAAGCCCCGGCUAACUACGUGCCAGCAGCCGCGGUAAUACGUAGGGGGCAAGCGUUGUCCGGAAUAAUUGGGCGUAAAGGGCGCGUAGGCGGCUCGGUAAGUCUGGAGUGAAAGUCCUGCUUUUAAGGUGGGAAUUGCUUUGGAUACUGUCGGGCUUGAGUGCAGGAGAGGUUAGUGGAAUUCCCAGUGUAGCGGUGAAAUGCGUAGAGAUUGGGAGGAACACCAGUGGCGAAGGCGACUAACUGGACUGUAACUGACGCUGAGGCGCGAAAGUGUGGGGAGCAAACAGGAUUAGAUACCCUGGUAGUCCACACUGUAAACGAUGAAUGCUAGGUGU